rnacentral:rRNA from 1 species
GAUGAACGCUGGCGGCGUGCUUAACACAUGCAAGUCGAACGAAGCACUUUAUUUGAUUUCCUUCGGGACUGAUUAUUUUGUGACUGAGUGGCGGACGGGUGAGUAACGCGUGGGUAACCUGCCUUGUACAGGGGGAUAACAGUUGGAAACGGCUGCUAAUACCGCAUAAGCGCACGGCAUCGCAUGAUGCAGUGUGAAAAACUCCGGUGGUAUAAGAUGGACCCGCGUUGGAUUAGCUAGUUGGUGAGGUAACGGCCCACCAAGGCGACGAUCCAUAGCCGACCUGAGAGGGUGACCGGCCACAUUGGGACUGAGACACGGCCCAAACUCCUACGGGAGGCAGCAGUGGGGAAUAUUGCACAAUGGGGGAAACCCUGAUGCAGCGACGCCGCGUGAAGGAAGAAGUAUCUCGGUAUGUAAACUUCUAUCAGCAGGGAAGAUAGUGAC